UCCUCUCGGCCAAAAAAGCAAGGAAACGUAGAGCUGGCGUUGUCCAAGGGGGCUCGUGUCCGUCCAGCGGCCCCUCGAGUCCAAACGGGUGGAGUUUGUUGCCGCCAGAUGUGGAAGGAGCUGACGCUUUAGCCAGGUGACUCCGGGCUGGGCUGCCACUGUCAUCCUUCAUAUGAUGUAAUCCUUUCUCCAGGUUCUCCGAGAGCGGUCUGGGAGAAGUUUGCCCUGAAACAUCAAGAAAAGAACGCAGUGGGGCUAGGUCUAAACUUGUUAAACUGAAUUAACCCUCCUACCACAUGAAUCUAGCCUGCUCCAGUCUUUCUAAUCUUGUUCAGAGUUUGGGAUAAUUUGUUUAGUUGUGCUGAUCAGCUGGAGGUUAAUUCAAUUGGACUUCAGUUAUUUAUUCAUGCCCGGAUUUGCUAAGUGUCACAGCAGAUACAUGAGGUCUCCAUUACGGUUAUGAGACAGCUUCAUUAGUGUGACAGAGAGCUGGUCGGGAUCACUUCCUCCCCUCGCUCCAGUGGCUGGAUACCAGGGUUUGCUCCAGCAGAAGGAAUCUUUAUAGCCUUCCCCUUUCAUUUGUAUCAUAAGUGGAUGCUGUUGGUUAUUGUGUAUUGAUUAUAGCAGAAAAACACACUUCCCCACAUUCUGAUUGGCUGGGAAGGUCUAGCCAGUAAUCUGUUUGAGGACCCUCAGUAGCUUCCUAGCCCUAUAUUUUAAAUAGUGAAGUAAAAAUGCAAAUAUCUUUUUAAAAGGCAUUUAUAUUAAUAACUUGGGCUUAUAUAGUGCCUUUCAUCUCAGAGAGUCCUGUGGCACUUUCAAAAUCACUUUACACAUCAGUGAAAUGCAGCCAGCUCAGGGAUGGAACAUGGUAGCUCUUGAACAGUACAUAACAAUAAGCAAAACCAAGGAAGAACAUAGUAUGCAAGCUGGAGGAACUCAAGUUGGCAGAAUUUUGCUAAUCAAACUGGACCAGAGCCAAGACACUAGGAUUACCUCUUGUAAAAAGUGCUACUUGGCUACAAGUGCUCAUACAACCUUGGGUAAAAUUUUAUUGAAAAGAAGACUUCUUUGCCUGUACACUGCACUGGAACAUUGGUUCAGAGCUGUCUCAGUGAAUUUUUCCAUUGUGCUAAGAGUGAGAUCCAUGAACCAAGGGAGAACAGUUAAUGAAGCUUCUUGUCCUGCUACAGGGAACAUCAAAGAAUCGGUCAGUACUGCAGAAUGACGUCCAUUUAAAAAAAUAGUGUAUUUAUGUCUCCUAUCUAUGCAAACAUGGCAAAGUAAAUGCCUAUAAAUUAGCUUUCCUGUAGUUUACAGAAAAGGUCAGAUGGUGGAGAAAAUGUUCGUUAUAGAGAAGGCCCUGGACAAAAUUCCUUGUUUUAUACAGUAGGGUAAACGUGCAGUAAUGCUGAUGCUGACAGGACAGUUAUUCCAGAUUUGCCCUCAUCCAAACAAGAACACAGUCUGGCUUCCCACCCUCCUUUUUAACUGUUUCAUUUGACCCCCAGCCCUCAACUCCCUGUGUCAUUGGCUGUCUUGGAUGACACCAUCAAGCAUUAGUGCAGGCCCUGGGCAGUACUACAGUGCUGUGUCCUGAGGAUUAAUGGCACUAUUAAUCAUCAUAUCUUCUCUUGCUCUCCAUUCUUCAAUUAAAUCAUAAACCUGUGCAGAGGAGCAGCCAUUAACUUUCAAGGAGUGAGAAAUGUUCCCACAUGUUUGGCCUUCUUCGGAAAACACUGUCAUGGUUACACACCGUGAAAUAUGGUUUCAAACAGAACAAUGCUUCAGAAAGCAGCCGGGACCCGUGUUACAGCUCAGCGUCCUUUUACAAAGUGUCUCUGGGCUGUGCUGAGGGACACUGCAACGAUCCACAGUGCUCCCCACCUGCAUACAUGACACCCCAGAAUUGUCGAGGUGUAGCCGCUUGCAGGUGGCACUGGGAGCAUGCCAAGAAGCUUGCUGUCUUAGGCAUACUUCUAGGCACAUGUCCAGCAGUGCUAGAAGACAGGGACGUUACAUCUGCCUCACAGUGUAAUGUGCAGGGGGUUGGCAUGCUGUGUAUUCCAGCAGUGCUGCCUUGUGCAGUUUGGAGGCACCACGGCCAUACCCUUAAUGAUCUGGAAGCCAAAUUAGAGCUUCUGCUUAUCCAUCAAACACAGAGCUUAGGUCUCUGCAGUGCCGGCGUCCUUGAGAUGGCACAGUAAGUGUCUUAUCUUUGUCACAGGGUGGAACUGGUCCUUUAAGCAGCUGGGAGGUAAACUGCACCUGUGCCAGACUUGGCCUUGUUCCCAGGUGAAAGGAAUGAGGCCAGGGAUCCUGGGGUGGGAGUGGGUGAUUCAGAACCAGGCUUACCAGAGCAAUAGCAGGUAGUCUGUGUGUGGCCUCUUCAUUGGUCAAAGCUUCAUUGGUCAAAGGACUUGAGACUGGCUAAGACGGCUGAUGGUGACUCCAGAGCUCCUGGGAAGAAACUUGGGAGCUGAAGCUCCAGUUUGAGCCCUGCUGGAGGAUGGUGAGCUUGGCAGCAAAGCUAGAAGCAAGGGGAUGUGGAGGCAGCGGAUGGACCUGCAGCCUGGAUGAAGUUGCAGGUAACAGCAGUAUUCCAGCAUGACUCCUUCUGGGGACAGAUUAGGACCCACUCAGCUCAGUAAUGGACUUCAAGUCACAGACUAGUGGUGGCCUCUUAUGCUCUGAAUACUGUCUUCCAAAUCACUCCUGCUCUCGCCCACACCACACUGACCAUGCAAGUGUCUCCUGGAGCCAAAAGGACAUCAACGUCCAUCACAGCCUGGCGGGUGCCAACUGGUGCUGCAAUCAGGUCAUGGCUGUC